rnacentral:rRNA from 1 species
CCUACGGGGGGCAGCAGUGAGGAAUAUUGGUCAAUGGGCGCGAGCCUGAACCAGCCAAGUCGCGUGAGGGAGGACGGCCCUACGGGUUGUAAACCUCUUUUGCCGGGGAGCAACGGGCGUCACGUGUGGCGCCACUGAGAGUACCCGGAGAAAAAGCCUCGGCUAACUCCGUGCCAGCAGCCGCGGUAAUACGGAGGAUGCGAGCGUUAUCCGGAUUUAUUGGGUUUAAAGGGUGCGUAGGCGGAACAUUAAGUCAGCGGUAAAAUCGAGGGGCUCAACCCCUGUAAGCCGUUGAAACUGGUGAUCUUGAGUGGGCGAGAAGUAUGCGGAAUGCGUGGUGUAGCGGUGAAAUGCAUAGAUAUCACGCAGAACUCCGAUUGCGAAGGCAGCAUACCGGCGCCCGACUGACGCUGAGGCACGAAAGCGUGGGGAUCGAACAGGAUUAGAUACCCUUGUAGUC